GGGUCAGCAUGUCUAGUAUAGCAAUUAUACAGCGAAACUGCGAAUGGCUCAUUAUAUAAGUUAUCGUUUAUUUGAUAGUACCUUACUACUUGGAUAACCGUGGUAAUUCUAGAGCUAAUACAUGCUAAAAAUCCCGACUUCGGAAGGGAUGUAUUUAUUAGAUUAAAAACCAAUGCCCUUCGGGGCUCACUGGUGAUUCAUGAUAACUCCUCGAAUCGCAUGGCCUUGUGCCGGCGAUGGUUCAUUCAAAUUUCUUCCCUAUCAACUUUCGAUGUUUGGGUAUUGGCCAAACAUGGUUGCAACGGGUAACGGAGGGUUAGGGCUCGACCCCGGAGAAGGAGCCUGAGAAACGGCUACUACAUCCAAGGAAGGCAGCAGGCGCGCAAAUUACCCAAUCCCGACACGGGGAGGUAGUGACAAUAAAUACUGAUACAGGGCUCUUUUGGGUCUUGUAAUUGGAAUGAGUACAAUUUAAAUCCCUUAACGAGGAACAAUUGGAGGGCAAGUCUGGUGCCAGCAGCCGCGGUAAUUCCAGCUCCAAUAGCGUAUAUUAAAGUUGUUGUGGUUAAAAAGCUCGUAGUUGAACCUUGGGCCUGGCUGGCCGGUCCGCCUCACCGCGUGUACUGGUCCGGCCGGGCCUUUCCCUCUGUGGAACCCCAUGCCCUUCACUGGGUGUGGCGGGGAAACAGGACUUUUACUGUGAAAAAAUUAGAGUGCUCCAGGCAGGCCUAUGCUCGAAUACAUUAGCAUGGAAUAAUAGAAUAGGACGUGUGGUUCUAUUUUGUUGGUUUCUAGGACCGCCGUAAUGAUUAAUAGGGACAGUCGGGGGCAUCAGUAUUCAAUUGUCAGAGGUGAAAUUCUUGGAUUUAUUGAAGACUAACUACUGCGAAAGCAUUUGCCAAGGAUGUUUUCAUUAAUCAGGAACGAAAGUUAGGGGAUCGAAGACGAUCAGAUACCGUCGUAGUCUUAACCAUAAACUAUGCCGACUAGGGAUCGGACGGUGUUAUUUUUUGACCCGUUCGGCACCUUACGAGAAAUCAAAGUGCUGGGCUCCAGGGGGAGUAUGGUCGCAAGGCUGAAACUUAAAGAAAUUGACGGAGGGCACCACCGGGGUGGAGCCUGCGGCUUAUUUGACUCACACGGGGAAACUCCCAGGUCCAAACCCAUGAGGAUGAAGAAUGGAAACCUUCUUGAUUUGUGGGUGGUGGUGCUGGCCGUCUUAUUUGGUGGAAGGAUUUGUUCCUUAUUUGAAAAAAACAAAACCUACCGCCAAAAAACCCGUUUUUUUUGUGGACCCCCGGUUUUAAAGGAAAAACCCCCCCCCCCACAAAAUUUUAGGAAAAAAGGGGUGUUCCCCUAAUAUGUUGGGGCCCCGCCCCCCCAAGGAAAAAAAAAAUUUUUUUUAAAAGCGGGGAUUCUUUUACCCCCCCGGGGAAGAAAAAAAUA
rnacentral:rRNA from 1 species